rnacentral:rRNA from 1 species
GCUACGGGGGGCUGCAGUCGAGAAUCAUUCACAAUGGGGGAAACCCUGAUGGUGCGACGCCGCGUGGGGGAAUGAAGGUCUGCGGAUUGUAAACCCCUGUCAUGGGGGAGCAAAUUAAAAAGAUAGUACCACAAGAGGAAGAGACGGCUAACGCGGUGCCAGCAGCCGCGGUAAUACAGAGGUCUCAAGCGUUGUUCGGAACCACUGGGCGUAAAAAGUGCGUAGGCUGUUUCGUAAGUCGUGGGUGAAAGGAGCGGGCUCAAGCCGCGGACGGCACAUGAUACUGCGAGAAUAGAGUAAUGGAGAGGGCACCGGAAUUCUCGGUGUCGCCGUGAAAUGCGUAGAUCUCGUGAGGAACACUCGUGGCGAAGGCGGGUUCCUGGACAUUAACUGCCGCUGAGGCACGAAGGCCCGGGGAGCGAAAUGGAUUAGCUACCCCAGUAGUC